UACGUAGGGGGCAAGCGUUGUCCGGAAUCAUUGGGCGUAAAGAGCGUGUAGGCGGCCCGAUAAGUCCGCCGUGAAAGUCCAGGGCUCAACCCUGGAAUGCCGGUGGAAACUGUCGGGCUGGAGUCCGGAAGAGGCGAGUGGAAUUCCUGGUGUAGCGGUGAAAUGCGCAGAUAUCAGGAAGAACACCUAUGGCGAAGGCAGCUCUCUGGGACGGUACUGACGCUGCGACGCGAAAGCGUGGGGAGCGAACAGG
rnacentral:rRNA from 1 species